rnacentral:pre_miRNA from 1 species
GGCUUAAUUACUCUUUUGAUCCCUUAAUUUAUUUAUUGGUUUCGUAUUGGUUUCGUUUUGGUUCCUUAACUAUUAAAAGUUUCGUUUUGGUCCCUUAACUCUAAUACAUUCAUCCUAACAUAAAGGACCAAAGUGGUUGAGAGAGGAUGAGUUAAGGGACCAAAACAAAACCAAAAAGUAAGUUAAAGGACCAAAACGAAACUUUUAAUAGUUAAGGGACCAAAAUGAAACCAAAAAGUAAGUUAAGGGACCAAAACGAAACUUUUAAUAGUUAAGGUA